rnacentral:rRNA from 2 species
CUUGCUAGAACUUAGAGACAGGUGCUGCACGGCUGUCGUCAGCUCGUGUCGUGAGAUGUUGGGUUAAGUCCCGCAACGAGCGCAACCCACGUAUUUAGUUGCUAACGGUUCGGCCGAGCACUCUAAAUAGACUGCCUUCGUAAGGAGGAGGAAGGUGUGGACGACGUCAAGUCAUCAUGGCCCUUAUGCCCAGGGCGACACACGUGCUACAAUGGCAUAUACAAUGAGACGCAAUACCGCGAGGUGGAGCAAAUCUAUAAAAUAUGUCCCAGUUCGGAUUGUUCUCUGCAACUCGAGAGCAUGAAGCCGGAAUCGCUAGUAAUCGUAGAUCAGCCAUGCUACGGUGAAUACGUUCCCGGGUCUUGUACUCACCGCCCGUCACACCAUGGGAGUUGAUUUCACUCGAAGCCGGAAUACUAAACUAGUUACCGUCCACAGUGGAAUCAGCGACUGGGGUGAAGUCGUAACAAGGUAACCGUAGGAGAACCUGCGGUUGGAUCACCUCCUUUCUAG